GACGAACGCUGGCGGCGUGCUUAACACAUGCAAGUCGAGCGGAAAGGCCACUUCGGUGGUACUCGAGCGGCGAACGGGUGAGUAACACGUGAGUAAUCUGCCCCUGGCUUUGGGAUAGCCACCGGAAACGGUGAUUAAUACCGGAUAUGACACAUUCUCGCAUGAGUUUGUGUGGAAAGUUUUUCGGCCAGGGAUGUGCUCGCGGCCUAUCAGCUUGAUGGUGAGGUAAUGGCUCACCAUGGCUUCGACGGGUAGCCGGCCUGAGAGGGUGACCGGUCACACGGGGACGGGGAACCGGCCAAGACUCCUACGGGGGGGAAGAGGGGGGAAAAUGGGACAAGGGGCGGAAGCCGGACCCAGAACCCCCGGGGGGGGGAUGACGGCUUUGGGGUGGAAAACCUUUUUCAGUACCGACGAAGCGAAAGGGACGGGAGGUAAAAAAAAAGCCCCGGCCAACUACGG
rnacentral:rRNA from 1 species